ACCUGGAUGGCUCAGUCGGUUAAGCAUCUGACUUUGGCUCAGGUCAUGAUUUCAUGGUCCGAGAGUUCAAGCCCCAUUUCAGGCG
rnacentral:tRNA from 1 species